UACAGAGGCCUCGAGCGUUAGGCGGAAUCACUGGGCUUAAAGCGUGUGUAGGCGGACUUCUAAGUACCUUGUGAAAUCCCACGGCUCACCCGUGGAACUGCUCGGUAUACUGGUCGUCUUGAGCCUUCUAGGGGCGAGUGGAACAAAUGGUGGAGCGGUGAAAUGCGUAGAUAUGUCACAGAACACCAAUUGCGAAGGCAGCUUACUAAAGUAUGAUUGACGCUGAGGCACGAAAGCGUGGGGAUCAAACAGG
rnacentral:rRNA from 1 species